rnacentral:rRNA from 1 species
UACGGGGGGAGCAAGCGUUGUUCGGAUUUACUGGGCGUAAAGGGCGCGUAGGCGGCCACCGCAAGUCAAUUGUGAAAUCUCCGGGCUCAACCCGGAACGGUCAACUGAUACUGCGGGGCUGGAGUGCAGAAGGGGCAACUGGAAUUCUCGGUGUAGCGGUGAAAUGCGUAGAUAUCGAGAGGAACACCUGCGGCGAAGGCGGGUUGCUGGGCUGACACUGACGCUGACAGCGCGAAAGCUAGGGGAGCGAACGGG